ACCGCAGUGCGGUUCAAACUGCGCCUACAAGCUGGUGCUGGAGAAUCGCCGCAUAUGUACUGUGUAAGCAAAAAGUGUCUGCAGAAUCCAGCUUAGCGAUUUGCCUUGCACAGAGAAACUUUGACAAUACAUUGUUUCAUGUGAAAACGUCACAAUAUAACUUUUUCUUAUAUGUCUGUUUUGGGGUUAUGCUAUUUUAUUAGUUUCUAAAGAAUAAGUUAUUUAUUAAGUUUUUUCCCCCUCCAUACUGUGGAGGGGACGUUACGGUACGCGACGGUAGCUUCUGUCUGAAAAAGGGGCUAAAAUUUACCCGAGAAAGUGUCAGUAAUAAAGACUCAACGAAUAAUCGAAUUAAGGACCAUUGCGCAAAGAACGCCCUGCAUCUGUUGCACAAAAACAAAAGGACGCCCUGUAUGUGGUGCUGAAAUAAAACAGGGCGGGGCAGGGUCCAGUAUAUCCUCCUCAGGCCCAUCAUCAACUGCCCCUUCGUCUGACUGGCUUUCAGCAACAGAGGACUGAGACUCAGUAGACAUGCAGAGCUGUAGAGUGUUUGUGCUUUCCAGAUAGGGACCAUGCUGCAGCAAGGCAAAAGUGUGAACUCAUUGAGCUAGUUGAAUACACCUAAGAUGGCUUACUUGAAAAUGUGACGAAAAAGACAAAUGGGUCGUCAUCUGCAAGAUUCAGACAGUGACAGUCUGCCGGGCAUUUGAAAUAUCCAUGCAACUACAAAUGGAAAUUACAUUGAAAUAAAAGUGAGUUUUAACUGAAUGCAGCGUGAGACUUU